GCGGAUAUAAAGAAUAUUUUAAGUACUAACUUAAUUAAACCGUAUUGAUCAAAUAAUCCUGAACAAGGUGCAAUAAAUUCAGAGGAUUAAAAGAAUGUUUCAGAAUGAUGAAAAUAGUAUUUUUAUAGAUAAAAGUAUUACUGAGCCAGAAUGGAGACAAUUUAGCUUUUAGAGAAGCAACAGGACUUGACUAUUCAUGAUCAAGCACAGUUUGUACCCUCAUUUAUAUUAUGGUAUUUGAUUUCCAUACAAAUGCUCCAUAACACAAGGAUUAGGCCAUAUAUGCUAAGCAGCUGCUUAGAAAGUACAUGUUUUGAUUGUGCAAGAAAAAGGAAUCAAGAGAUGCAUGAAAAGAGGCAAAUGUGGAAUUAAUAACAAUCGAAACAAUAAAGAACUGUCAGGAGUAAUUCACUGCUUUUACGUGGGGUAAAAGAAAGCAUAGAGUUUAAAAUUUCCAUGUAGUUCAGAAGUAAAAUAGGGCUUUUUUUUUUUUUAGUAGAGAAUAGCAGAAAAUAGUUUCUCUCAAAGAUGUGAUCUGGGAGAUAAAUUUUUACACUUUUUUUUAAGCAACCCAUCUUUGAGAAGCACAGAAGAUAAUUCAGUUUGUUCAGAAACAUGCAGACCUUUCUGGGUCAAAUCUUCACCUCGCUCAUGGAGCAUUUCCAUUGAAGUCAACCUGCCUUCCCUUUAAAGCUUUCUCUUCUCAGCUAGCCAGCCCUGGUGUAUUCUAUGAGAAAAACUCAUCCUCAGAUGUCAGUCUGUGGUGUGUUCUCUGAACAAUUGCAACAAGGAAAAAAAUGGAAGCAAGUAUACUGAGCGUCCCAGAUUGCUGUAGCAGGCUCACAGCUUCUGUCACCACUAAAAAGGAAUUGGAAUUUGCUCAGAAGUAGACAGCCAGAAAUGUACAGGAGUCAUAUACAAAAACUGCAUAUUUAAUUUAUUUUCUUAAUUUCAAUUUUCUUCGUUUGAAAUGUUACACUCUUGUCAUUUAUCUUUUAUUUGUCCAUCUCAAAAGUUCAUGUAGUACAAAACAUAUGCUAUUAGGUAUGCACUCAAAUCUUUGCAGUCUCCUUAAACUGUAAAGGCUUCAAGAUUCAAAGAUUCAGAUCAUUACUGGUUUUUUAUUUGUAUUUGCACAGUUUCUGCAGUGCCCGGUGCCUUUUUAGAAACAGUAACUGGUAUCACAGUAUGUCACAUUUUCCUUCCAAAGACCAAGAAUUAAGGAUUAGCUUUGUGGACAUGAAACUUUCUGCUAUUAGGUGAAACACUUUCUACUACUCUUUGCCAUUACCGAAGAGAGCUUGGCCUGCUUUCCUUCUCUACUUAAGUCAAUAGAAAAUGGAAAACAGUAAAUAUCUGCUCUCAGACAAGCUGCUAAUGUAACAUUAUUUUCUAUAAAUAGUCCACAUCAACUGAGUUCAUCUAUUUCUGUCUGCUAAUAAGUUGUGCAUACUGACUUGUUCGUGUACAGCUUUUCAGAAGUCAAAUCCAUUCCAGCUAAAUAUGAUUCUGAAAGUUGAAUUUAAUGCAGUAAUUCUGGCUCUGGCCCAGAGACUGAACUGGACACCUGGAACAGGAACUAAUCUUGCAAUAUAUUCAGAUUUCUAUCUGCAAAAACCUAUGAGAUUUUUCUGUAAUAUGUGCACACAGAACUGAGGAAUAAUCACAAAAAAACAUCUUUUGAAGGAAUGAAUGAAAAAAUCCUGAUUACCUUUCCCAGUCUCCCAGUCAGUCAUGAAUGAAAAUCCUUCCCACUCCCUUGUUGUUGUUGUUUGUUUGUUUAUUUUUUAAGGAGAAUGAAUUCCAAUGUUCUCGUUGUCAGUAUGGAUCAAGACCUCG
rnacentral:lncRNA from 1 species